GAUGAACGCUGGCGGCGUGCCUAAUACAUGCAAGUCGAGCGAACAGACGAGGAGCUUGCUCCUCUGACGUUAGCGGCGGACGGGUGAGUAACACGUGGAUAACCUACCUAUAAGACUGGGAUAACUUCGGGAAACCGGAGCUAAUACCGGAUAAUAUAUUGAACCGCAUGGUUCAAUAGUGAAAGACGGUUUUGCUGUCACUUAUAGAUGGAUCCGUGCCGCAUUAGCUAGUUGGUAAGGUAACGGCUUACCAAGGCAACGAUGCGUAGCCGACCUGAGAGGGUGAUCGGCCACACUGGAACUGAGACACGGUCCAGACUCCUACGGGAGGCAGCAGUAGGGAAUCUUCCGCAAUGGGCGAAAGCCUGACGGAGCAACGCCGCGUGAGUGAUGAAGGUCUUCGGAUCGUAAAACUCUGUUAUUAGGGAAGAACAAAUGUGUAAGUAACUAUGCACGUCUUGACGGUACCUAAUCAGAAAGCCACGGCUAACUACGU
rnacentral:rRNA from 1 species